AAGUCGUUCCGUAGGUGAACCUGCGGAAGGAUCAUUAACACGUAUCCAACGUUAAACCCCCCGUGAACCUUCAGUGCGCUCGCACUUUCUUAGAAAAGGUAAAUCAUUGCCGAACAGUUUUGAUUCAGGGACUUCUGCGUAGACUGUGCUUGAGCGUGAGGCAAGUGGCCUGGCAUUCCUCUGCUUGUUGGUGUCUGAAAGUGUCACCAGCUCUGUACGAAUGGCGCAGUCACGAUCGCUAGAGGCCGACACGGCCGGCGACCGGGUCACUGGGCGCGAGCCCCCCUCGUCACCUUUGCAUGAAAACGGGCCUGCGCUUAAUUGUGCGGCCACCAAACUCGAACAACUGUUAACAAUGGAUAUCUUGGUUCUC
rnacentral:misc_RNA from 1 species